UAGUCGCAUCUGGGGUGGGGGUGGGUGGUUGGAAAUCACUUUCCAGAGACACGGCCUCCUCGGCAUGGCGGUGCCCGUUCGGAGCGAGUUCGUUUACUCUGUGCUGUGGCCGGGGCGGGGGUCUGGGCUAUAGGCAGAUAGCGUUUAGUUCCACCAUGUUUGGGAACCUAUUUGAAGAGGAUUAUUCCAGUGUGUCAAGUAGUCAGUAUGGAAGAGGGAAGAAAUUAAAGACUAAAGGUUUGGAGCCGCCUGCCCCUAGAGAAUUCACCAAUUUAAGUGGAAUCAGAAAUCAGGGUGGAACCUGUUACCUCAGCUCCCUUCUUCAGACGCUUCAUUUCACACCUGAAUUCAGAGAAGCUUUAUUUUCUCUUGGUCCGGAAGAGCUGGGUUCUUUAGAGGAUAAAGAUAAACCUGAUGCAAAGGUUCGGAUCAUACCUUUGCAGUUGCAGCGCUUGUUUGCCCAGCUUCUGCUCUUGGACCAGGAGGCUGCAUCUACCAUAGACCUCACCGACAGCUUCGGGUGGACCAACGAUGAGGAAAUGAGGCAACAUGAUGUGCAGGAACUCAACCGAAUUCUCUUCAGUGCUUUGGAAACUUCUUUAGUUGGGACCUCUGGCCAUGACCUCAUUCAUCGUCUAUACCAUGGCACCAUUGUGAACCAGAUUGUUUGCAAAGAGUGUAAGAACAUCAGUGAGAGGCAGGAAGACUUCUUGGAUUUGACAGUAGCAGUCAAAAAUGUAUCUGGUUUAGAAGAUGAACUCUGCAACAUGUAUGUGGAGGAAGAAAUUUUUGACUAUGACAACCUGUACCACUGUGGAACCUGUGACCGACUGGUUAAAGCAGCAAAGUCUGCCAAAUUGCGUAAGCUGCCUCCUUUUCUUACUAUUUCAUUACUAAGAUUUAAUUUUGAUUUUGUGAAAUGUGAACGCUACAAGGAUACUAGCUGUUAUACAUUCCCCCUCCGGAUCAAUCUCAAGCCUUUCUGUGAACAGAGUGAACUGGAUGACAUGGAAUAUAUGUAUGACCUCUUCUCCGUCAUUAUCCACAAAGGUGGCUGCUAUGGAGGUCAUUACCAUGUGUACAUUAAAGAUGUUGAUCAUCUUGGCAACUGGCAAUGUCAAGAGGAGAUAAGUGAUACAAAUGUGAAUGUGAAAGCUCCUCAGAGUGAAGAAGAGGCUAAUGAUCCAUUGGUGGUUCUAAAAACAAUCUUAUUGCAGGAGGAGGCCAAUCAAAUUCCUGUUGAUCAACUGGGCCAGAAACUCUUGAAAAAAACAGGAAUAUCUUGGAACAAGAAGUACAGGAAACAGCAUGGACCACUGCGAAAGUUCUUACAGCUCCAUCCUCAGAUAUUUCUGCUCAGCACAGAUGAAAGUACAGUUAGUCUCCUGAGGAACCAUCUUACCCAGGCCCCAUCUGACCUACAGAGCUGUGAACAGAUUCUACAUACACUUGCUUCAGAAUCCCCAGGCUUGAAUGAUGACACCAGUUGCCCACACUGGUUUGAUAUCAAUGAUUCCAAAGUCCAUCCAAUCAGAGAGAAAGAUAUCACACAGCAGUUCCAGGGUAAAGAAAGUGCCUACAUGCUGUUUUAUCGGAAAGCCACGUUACAAAGGCCCCCUGAAGCUCGAGCCAAUCCAAGAUACAGAGUUCCAUGUCACUUGCUGAAGGAAAUGGAUGCAGCCAACAUUCUACUGCAGAUGAGAAGGGCAGAAUGUGACUCUGCAAACAGUACUUUUGAGUUGCAUCUUCAUUUGGGUCCUCACUACCGUUUCUUCAAUGGGGCUCUUCACCCUGCAGUCUCUGAGACAGAAAGCGUGUGGGACUUAACGUUUGAUAAAAGAAAAACUUUAGGAGAUCUCCGUCAGUCAAUAUUUCAGCUAUUGGAAUGUUGGGAAGGAGACAUGGUUCUUAGUGUUGCGAAGCGUGUGCCAGCAGGACUUCAUGUGUACCACACCCUCGAUGGAGAUGACUUGACACUGUGUGAAGCUGAGGUUGCUGAUGGGGAAGACAUCUUUGUAUGGAAUGGGGUAGAGGUUGGUGGAGUCCAAAUUCAGACUGGUUUUGAUUGUGAACCUCUGCUGUUAAACAUUCUUCAUCUAGAACUAAGUGGUGAAGGCUCAAAAUGUGAGCAGUUGGUGGAGUCACCACAUGUCUUUCCUGCUAAUGCAGAAGUGGGCGCUGUGUUCACAGCCUUGGGCACCCCAGCAGGUGCCAUCCUCAUGAACAGUGUGGAGUCUGCAGAUGGAGAGUGCUGGACUGCUGUUCCCAAAGAAGACAUGAAGAAGACGUUCAGAGAACAAGGUCUCAGAAAUGGAAGCUUAAUUUUGGUUCAAGAUUCAGACAGUGAUAAUAACAGUCUGUUGCCCAAACAAGGGAGAUGGACCAACAGCAUGAAUGAGCUCAACUGGCUCCAAGUGAAAAAUUUCUGCCAGUCAGAAUCUGAAGAGAAGCAGGUUCAGAUAGCCGUGACCAUGCACACAGUGGUGUUUGAUAUUCGAAUUAAAGCCAUAAAGGAAUUAAAAUUAAUGAAGGAACUAGCUGAGAACAGCUGUUUGAGACCCAUUGAUAGAAACGGGAAGCUUCUUUGUCCAGUCCCAGACAGUAGCACUUUGGAGGAAGCAGAGGUGAAGAUGGGGAGCUCCGUGGGCCUGUGUCUGGGAAAAGCACCAACUUCCUCUCAGCUGUUCCUGUUUUUUGCUCUGGGGACUGACAUUCACCCUGGGGCAGAGAUGGACAUCAUAGUAGAAGAAACACUCUCAGUGAGAGAUUGUUUAAAGAUAAUGCUGGAGAAGUCAGGUCAGCAAGGAGAGAUUUGGCACUUAAGGAAAAUGGAUUGGUGCUAUGAAGCUGGUGAACCUUUAUGUGAAGAGGAUGCAACACUGAAAGAGCUUAUGAUACGUUCUGGGGAUACUUUGCUUUUAACUGAAGGGAAACUUCCUCCUCCGGGUCACUUGAAGAUGCCCAUCUGGUGGUACCAGCCUGCAAGGCUGUCAGGACACUGUGAGAGUCGGGACCACUUAAACUGUGCCUUUUCUCAAGAUAGCACCUGGAGGGCUGCUCCCACCCAAGGUGCUCCUGGCCCCGAGCCUGCAGAAGUCUCUCUCCUCUACUUGGGGGAUAUGGAGAUCUCAGAAGAGGCCACAUUGGUGGAACUGAAGUCUCAGUCUGUCCUGAUAUGGCAUGUGUUAUAUGCCAUGGUCAGGGGUAAGUACCAACAGGCAGCCCACAUUCAACAUAGACACUUCUGGUAUCUGUUGGUGCUGUUGCCCGGUGGUUUCCACUCACACAGUUCCCACAGGCAUGCUGUGCUUGUGUUUGGAUUGGUCCUCAGAAGCUCAUGGCUUAGUUCCUUUUGACUCUUUAGGGAAACAUGACUUCUUGAAUCAUUUUAUAAAGCAUUCCCUUUAGCUCUUCAUUUAUACUGUUUGUACAUUGUGAUCCACUUGUUAAAUGUCAUCAGUUCCAAGCUGUGUUGUAUGGGUUUUCCUUAGUCAGCAGAGAGCUAUCUGUAUUAAGAUCCUAACAUGGACAUUUUGUUGUCUUGUGUGUCACAUCUCACCAUACAAAUGGGAAGGCUGGAUGGCGGAUAGCACACUGUGAUAGAAUGGUAUCUUGUCCUGCUAGACUGUGGUGGACAUGGCAGUUACUAAAGGGACAGAUGCAGGACCUAGUAUGACCUGCAGUGGCAUCUUUUGUAUCCCCAGUGAAUAAAAUAACCCUACUUAAGAAAGACUUAAGCUCCAUUUCCAUGAAAACAAAUGGGAAGACGUUUUUAUUCCUUGUACUGAGUUGGAAGAAAAAAGAUGGCCAUUUUUAGGUUAAAAAAACUGAACAAAGGCUGCUUUCUCUACUUCAUCCUCAGUAUAAAAGGUGCUUAAAGUUACCUGAGCCUAUAGAGUUAGAGCACACAGUGUGGGCCUCCCUGUUGGAGCCAAAGUCUUAAGUAUUUCAAAACCAAAAGUUCUGUCACUGAAGAUGAGAGUCCAUGUAGAUAAGAGCUAAAGAUGAACUUUUGCUUUAUUUGAGCAGGCUGUGCACGUAUGAGUCACACCCAGGUAGAAUUGGUUAAGUGGUUUUGUAAAAACAUGAUUAGGAAGUUUUUCAAUUCUAAUGUAGUGGCGCAGGCCUUUAAUCACAACACUUGGGAGUAGAGGUAGGUGGAUCUCUGUGAGUUCAAGACCAGCCUGGUCUAUAUAGUGAGUGCCAGAACAGCCAGGGCCACAUAGAGAGAUCCUUGUUCAAAACAACAGUGGUAGUUUUUCAGCCAUGAGGGCCAGCACAGUAUUGUAAUAUACAGUAUCCAACAGGUUGGGCAGAGGGUUAUCCAAACUGGGCUGGAGAGCAGGAGCCUAUCUCAAAAUUUAAAAAUAAUAAAAUAGGGCUUUUUAAAACUUGGAUUUAAAAAUAGAAGGUUCAUUUUUCUGGUCUAUUUCAGUGGAAAGGAAUAUAAAAAGUACCAGGAUUGUCUUCAUUUAAGGCAGAUACUUUGGUAAUGUUUUGACUUUUUAAGACAGGAUCUGAUGUAUCCCAGGCUGCUCUGGAAUACAAUCGUAGCUAAGGAUAAUCCUCCCACCUCUACCUCCCAAGUGUUGUGGUUGUGGGCUUGUCCUGCCACAACCAGCUCUCCUGUCCUUUCUAAUAGAUUGGUUUAUUGCCCCUGACGCUGAGGAGCUUGUCCCCCAGAGUCAGGUAGUGUUUCAUUCAGAUGCUCUCAGGGACUUUUAAGAUUAGUAGCAAUAUGUCUCUUUCUUUUCUAGGCCUUGGCCUUGCCUUCUGUUUCGAAGCUCGCUGUCCAGUCCACAGCCCUGCUCAGAGUCUGGACAGUGGAGAGCAAGCGCCCCAGCAGACUCUUGCGCACUAACUGGCGGCAGCUCAAGGAGUACAGACUGGGCCGGAGAGCAGAGCUCUGCCUAGAGCUCCUUCAAAAAGAGGAGGACUUGGGGCCCCGAGAUGUACUGCUGAGGACACAGCUACGCAUCCCUGGUGAGAGAGCCUACUCCCUGGCGACAGACCUGAUAUGGGACACCACCAGAGGAUGGACUGCUGGCUCCUUGAGGCAGAGAGUAGCUGACUUCUAUUCUCUUCCUGUGGAGAAAAUUGAAAUUGCCAAAUAUUUUCCUGAAAAGUUUGAGUGGCUUCCAAUAUCUAGCUGGAAUCAGCAAGUUGCCAAAAGAAAAAAGAAGAAAAACCAAGAUACUUUGCAAGGGGGACCAUAUUACUUGAAAGAUGGAGACACUAUUGGCAUUAAGAAUCUCCUGUUUGAUGACAAUGAUGAUUUCAGCACAAUCAGAGAUGACAUUGGAAAGGAGAACCAGAAGCGGCUAGCUUUGGAAAAAAAGAAAAGGUGAGUGUAAGGCUUGGCCGUGGUCCACUCAAGGCCACUAGGGAUGCAGACCUGGCAUAUCACUCCCUUUCCAGACACCUCACCUGAUCUUCUGCAGGGCCCUAGUUGUCACCCAGCAGUGUUCCAGGUCAGCUGUCAUCUUCAUCACUGUGUAGAGCUAGAACAUGUGUUCAGCCGGCAUCUCCCAUUUGCAUGCUAUUGGAAUACUGCAUUCUCACCAGCCUGCACUGCUUCCCACUUUCUUCCAUCUUAUAUUUUAUGCUUAAUGUUAUUACAGGCUUUCAGACUCAAAAGCCACCAAAGGAGUUCAUUGUGCGUUCACCUUCAUAGGGACCAGCAUCACUGUCACCUACAUAGCGUUUCAGAGAGCAUGCUUGCCCUACAUCACUGACAGCCCAUAACAAAUGGUGGGAGCAUGGCACUCUUCUGCCAUAUGUGAGUGAACCUCAUGGUGGCUGCCAACAACGAUCCUGGGUUAUCUGUAAAGCAUGUCUCUAAGCACGGCGGCUAGGUCAAAAGCUAUGGCUACUGGUGUAAAUAUGCCUUCUGGUAGAAAAGCCAACAAGCCAAAAAUACAUUGGUGAUAAGCCUGAGCAGAAGGGAAGUGCAGCAGCUUGUCAGCAUACAGGAAAUGUUCAGUUAAGCUCAUUCAUCAGUCACACAUCAAUUCAAACCACUACACAUCCAUUUAGGCUGCUGAAAUGACGCCACACUGGUGAGCAGACCGUGCCUAGGUCGUGGCUUUGCUAGCAGGUGUGGAGCUGGAACACCACUUUGGAGGAGCUUCUUACUCCUGGGGAGCACACACCUGUCACACAGCAACACCCUCACAAACGCACUUUUGGCAGACACAUGAGAAAAUGCAGUAGCCUGAGCUCAGCUUUAGCAUGGGUCUCAUUGGAGCCAUCUGAAGAGGGUACUGUACAUUGUAAAUACCAGACCCAGGAGUCACAGUACCGUGACUGUGUCUGGAAGUCACAGUGAAGACUAGUUUGCUAAGUGGUCAGAGAGGUGGUUCUCUGGGAACAGGGACCGAGGGAGCAAAAUGGAGCCACCUGAACUGUCAUAUAGGUAUGUGGGUAUGAUUUGGGUACACUGUGAAUGUUUUCAAUUAAAAAUGUGAGGGAGAAAAAGGUCACUCUGCUGUGAAAGGAUUGUGCACAGCUGCCUAUUAACAAUGUUUAGCCAGGAUGUGGGGAACCCUAUUCUCACCUGAGAGUAAACUGGGGCCUCACAUGGGCAGUUGAAAAACAUCUGAUCAGCCGGGCGGUGAUGGUGCACACCUUUAAUCCCAGCACUUGGGAGGCAGAGGCAGUCGGAUUUCUGAGUUUGAGGCCAGCCUGGUCUACAGAGUGAGUUCCAGGACAGCUAGGGCUACACAGAGAAACCCUGUCUCAAAAAAACAAAACAAAACAAAACAAAAGAGAAGGAAGAAAGGAAGGAAGACAGGAAGGAAGACAUCUGUCCAACUUGAAAAUCCUAUUCUACCUUGAGCCCUAGUAUCUGGAAUUCAUUUGGGAGCCAUUCUAAGUACCCUCAACACAGGGGCUGGAGAGAUGGCCCUUGCUGCUCUUGCACAGGACCUAACUUCAGUUCUCAGCACACACAUGGUGGUUUACAACUAUUUAUAACCCCUGUUCCAGGGGAUCCAGUGCCCUCUUUCUGACCUCCACAGGUAGUAGACAUGCAGGUAAAAUACUCAUGCACAUAAAAAUAAAUUUUAAAUGAACAAAAAACAACUCUAUAAGCCCUCACCCAUGAUUGUGUAUCAGUGAUACCUUCUGUCUCCCACAGCCGAGAAGUCCACCGUGCACAGAGCAGCGAUUUGUUCUCCAAUGCAGGGGUGCCCGCUAGGUUCCGGGGACCAGAAGCUUCUCUGUCCAUCCACGUUGCAAGCUUCAGAUAGCCCCUGCAGCAGUAUUUCCUGUGCUUCAGACAGAAGCAUCCUGUCAGUUCUAUGACAGACACCUUGUGGGUUUAUGGUGGACAAGCUGGUUGCCUCCACAGCUAGUGAUCUCAAGUCUUCAGCUUUGUGAUAGGCGAAGGGAUGGCACUUCUCAGACCAAACAAGUGUGCCUGGUUACUAGCUCUGUGACACAGCAGCUGCAGAGCCGGCUCAGACUCAGACACUAUGCCCGGAAUAGACCUCUUACCUGUGGCCUCUUUCCAGAAAGUAUACUUCUGGACAAUGGCAAGUUGCUCAAAGAGGACAAAUCUGAUAGGUAAGCCACAAGAUCAGUUACUUACCCACUCCUGAGGUGACCAGUUAGUCAUCUAGUUCUGGCACCUUACUGAAGCUGCAAGGAAGGAUGUGUGUCCUGACUCCAUUCCCAGUUUUCCAGUCCUCACUAUGCCAUGUGCCUCCUCUUGAGCCAAAUUCAAAGUAGGACUCUAAGCCAGCUUGCAGGAAAAGCUAUGUAUGGCAUUCACCUACUGUGUUAUCUACCACCUAUGCACUCUGGCCAGAGACGGGACCAUCAAAGAAGCCUAGCACAACAAAUCCAGGCUCCCAUUUGUCUUGGGGAAACUGAGGCCUCCUCCUUCUCAGUCAGCACAGGUAACUGAUUGAAGAGAUUUGGUAUUUAUGUACUGUAAUUAAUACACUAUCAAAACAGCAUCUAUUACUGAACUAGCAGGUUUAGGACCCUGGGCUGACUUAGCCUAUGACAGACAGUAUUCCUAAGAGGAAUUGUCAGGGUAUCAGUUUCUUACCAGCUUUUACAUGUCUUCCUGUAACAGAACUGAUGUGGUGUAAGACAAAGAAAAAGUUACUCUGGCCUGGGCUUCAGCUAGCCCCUGCUGGCUUUUCACAUUUCUGGUGCAGCUAUGCUGGCUUCUCUGUGGAGCUGAUGCUCAGCUGGUAAUCUUGCUCUUCCUUUGUCUUCCCAACAUCAUUUGCCAGAGUUGAUGUCAUGUUAGGUGACUGAUUCUAUUGAAGCACUUGUAUUAUAAGAUGUUGGACUUGGACUAGUUACCUUUUCUGGCCAUGUCCUUGUAGCUACACACCAAGAGGUUCUGGGAGACCCAAACAGUAAACAUUACUUGACCACAACUGAGCCCUCUGGAUACUGGAUACUGUUUCUUGUACUGUAACUGACAUGGUUCCUUAGUUUGUCCCCAGGCAAUACAGUCCUGAUGUACUAGCUCAGACACUUUGCUUUCAGGAAGCCAGAGGCUCCCUGACCCUCUUAGUACCUGGAGGAGCCAGAAGACAUGCCUCAAGUGCUAGCUGCAGCCUAAGUCUGUUGACAGGCCUAUCUGGUUGGUUUCUUUUGUGUGUGUGUGUGUGUGUGUGUUUGGAGAACAGAAUAGACAAAACAGGGAAAAACACUAAGACUUUAUUAAAGAAAAAAAUAAAACA